rnacentral:lncRNA from 1 species
UUUUAACCCACCGGAUUGUCCAUCUAUUGCGUCAGAUCAAUGUAGUUAUGUAUGCAGUAGCAACCAAUACUAUUUCUGAGUCUGAUAACAGUAGGGAAGCAAAUGGAAAGUCUGACGCGAGCUUGCAUGAACGCGUUUUUGCCACGACAAGGAAAAGAUGGUUUUACUCGUUCAAUGGAUAAACUCGAUCGUUGACAGUACGUAGACCAACAAAGUCCAUUAUUUUGGAGUUUUAGGUUGUGGUCAGAUGUCAGAUGCAGAAUAAUUGCAAAUACCCAUGUAGUUUGACGUUGUUCCCAGUAUUUUAUAGGUGAAGGCCAAUCUCAGAAGAUUGCUUUUUGUUGACCUCUCCCAGUAAAUUAAUGACUUAAAAUGACGUGGGGUGUUUUGCUAGGUUGUUUAAUUUUGACAGGUAAUGGAACUGGAGGGGAUGGUUAUUGGUCUUCGAUGCAAAACCCAACACACAGAUUAAUUAUUAUCCGUAAUCAAUCAUUGUGGUAGUCCUAAUCCUUUUUGCGUGGUUUAUUAAAAGUGAGUGCAAUGGCCACUAAGCUUACGUUUCUCUGCAUUAGAAUACUUUUUGGGGGUCCUGAAGUCGGAGAAAUGAUGCAGAGUUUACACGUAGCCCAUGAACUGAAAAUGAUUGGAGGAGGUUUUCACAAGGACAAUCAUGAUGCAGUGGCAGUCACCCCCACCCAAAACUUUGCAUAAGCUAUCCUGCACGUCGCGGACUCUAAUUUUGGACUAUUAGGUCUACGCCUCUAGCUAGGCUCAUCGACCAGUCUGUCUGGUUUGGCUGUCCCAAAGUUCCACUUCGACUUCCCCCUCCAUCUGCAUGACAUUUUAGCUUUGAUCUAAAGAAUUUCCAGUGGCCUGAAAUAAGUGUUGGUCACGUAUGUAUGUAUCGUGUAAGUCCCACCCCCCUUUUUUAUCCUGAAUUAGUAUCUGCUUUCCUCAUUGCUUGUUCUUCUGAUACAAUAAUUGUCUGUUUCUGUCAAAAAAGUGGAAUAAAAAGAACAAAGUGUAGGAGCCAUACAUUAUUGAUUCCAUUUUCCAGUAACAGUCUGAAGCACCAAGCAGACAAGCUCCAAGAGGAUUCAAAUACGUGGACGGCUGUCUCAGGAAUAAUAGCUAACUUUUGGCUCCGUUAAAAAUGGCUAUCCAUAUAGAAGCUAAUAACAUAAUGCAAACACAAAAAGUCAAUUCCAUCAAUGAGUACACUUCUAUAAUUAUGGAGCGCAGAAUUUUGUAAAUUCCACAAAAUGACAAAAUAAUUCUUCGUUUUUUUUUUCCAAAGUAAAUAUACUUACUUACCAGGGCACCCAGUAGAAUUGUUGGAACAAAAUGAACUGAUUCUAAUUUCAAUGACAAAAAGUUUUUUAAGGGAAAGAACUGGUCAGAGUUUCAUCCUUAAAGAAUUGGCCAAUGUUUCGUGUAUGCAAAACAAUGCUCACAACCUUAAAUCCCC